rnacentral:rRNA from 1 species
UGAGGAAUAUUGGUCAAUGGACGAGAGUCUGAACCAGCCAAGUAGCGUGAAGGAUGACUGCCCUAUGGGUUGUAAACUUCUUUUAUAUGGGAAUAAAGUGGUCCACGUGUGGAUUUUUGUAUGUACCAUAUGAAUAAGGAUCGGCUAACUCCGUGCCAGCAGCCGCGGUAAUACGGAGGAUCCGAGCGUUAUCCGGAUUUAUUGGGUUUAAAGGGAGCGUAGGUGGACAGUUAAGUCAGUUGUGAAAGUUUGCGGCUCAACCGUAAAAUUGCAGUUGAUACUGGCUGUCUUGAGUACAGUAGAGGUGGGCGGAAUUCGUGGUGUAGCGGUGAAAUGCUUAGAUAUCACGAAGAACUCCGAUUGCGAAGGCAGCUCACUGGACUGCAACUGACACUGAUGCUCGAAAGUGUGGGUAUCAAACAGGAUUAGAUACCCUGGUAGUCCACACAGUAAACGAUGAAUACUCGCUGUUUGCGAUAUACAGUAAGCGGCCAAGCGAAAGCAUUAAGUAUUCCACCUGGGGAGUACGCCGGCAACGGUGAAACUCAAAGGAAUUGACGGGGGCCCGCACAAGCGGAGGAACAUGUGGUUUAAUUCGAUGAUACGCGAGGAACCUUACCCGGGCUUAAAUUGCAUUUGAAUAAUCAAGAAAUUGGUUAGUCGUAAGACAAAUGUGAAGGUGCUGCAUGGUUGUCGUCAGCUCGUGCCGUGAGGUGUCGGCUUAAGUGCCAUAACGAGCGCAACCCUUAUCUUCAGUUACUAACAGGUCAUGCUGAGGACUCUGGAGAGACUGCCGUCGUAAGAUGUGAGGAAGGUGGGGAUGACGUCAAAUCAGCACGGCCCUUACGUCCGGGGCUACACACGUGUUACAAUGGGGGGUACAGAAGGCCGCUACCUGGUGACAGGAUGCUAAUCCCAAAAGCCUCUCUCAGUUCGGAUCGAAGUCUGCAACCCGACUUCGUGAAGCUGGAUUCGCUAGUAAUCGCGCAUCAGCCAUGGCGCGGUGAAUACGUUCCC